rnacentral:rRNA from 1 species
AUUGAACGCUGGCGGCAGGCCUAACACAUGCAAGUCGAGCGGAUGAAGGGAGCUUGCUCCUGGAUUCAGCGGCGGACGGGUGAGUAAUGCCUAGGAAUCUGCCUGGUAGUGGGGGAUAACGUCCGGAAACGGGCGCUAAUACCGCAUACGUCCUGAGGGAGAAAGUGGGGGAUCUUCGGACCUCACGCUAUCAGAUGAGCCUAGGUCGGAUUAGCUAGUUGGUGGGGUAAAGGCCUACCAAGGCGACGAUCCGUAACUGGUCUGAGAGGAUGAUCAGUCACACUGGAAGGGGAACACGGUCCAGACUACUAAGGGAGGCAGCAGUGGGGAAUAUUGGACAAUGGGCGAAAGCCUGAUCCAGCCAUGCCGCGUGUGUGAAGAAGGUCUUCGGAUUGUAAAGCACUUUAAGUUGGGAGGAAGGGCAGUAAGUUAAUACCUUGCUGUUUUGACGUUACCAACAGAAUAAGCACCGGCUAACUUCGUG